rnacentral:piRNA from 1 species
UCUACUUUGAAGCAAGAAGAUGGUCUUAAUA